rnacentral:rRNA from 1 species
ACGCUCGACACCUACGGGAGGCAGCAGUGGGGAAUAUUGCACAAUGGGGGAAACCCUGAUGCAGCGACGCCGCGUGAGCGAAGAAGUAUUUCGGUAUGUAAAGCUCUAUCAGCAGGGAAGAUAAUGACGGUACCUGACUAAGAAGCUCCGGCUAAAUACGUGCUAGCAGCCGCGGUAAUCUGAGCGGGCUGGCAAGGC